rnacentral:rRNA from 1 species
GUGGGGAAUUUUGGACAAUGGGCGAAAGCCUGAUCCAGCAAUGCCGCGUGCAGGAUGAAGGCCCUCGGGUUGUAAACUGCUUUUGUACGGAACGAAAAGCCUGGGGCUAAUAUCCCCGGGUCAUGACGGUACCGUAAGAAUAAGCACCGGCUAACUACGUGCCAGCAGCCGCGGUAAUACGUAGGGUGCAAGCGUUAAUCGGAAUUACUGGGCGUAAAGCGUGCGCAGGCGGUUUUGUAAGACAGUGGUGAAAUCCCCGGGCUCAACCUGGGAACUGCCAUUGUGACUGCAAGGCUAGAGUGCGGCAGAGGGGGAUGGAAUUCCGCGUGUAGCAGUGAAAUGCGUAGAUAUGCGGAGGAACACCGAUGGCGAAGGCAAUCCCCUGGGCCUGCACUGACGCUCAUGCACGAAAGCGUGGGGAGCAAACAGGAUUAGAAACCCCGGUAGUCC